UACGAAGGGGGCUAGCGUUGCUCGGAAUCACUGGGCGUAAAGGGUGCGUAGGCGGGUCUUUUAAGUCAGGGGUGAAAUCCUGGAGCUCAACUCCAGAACUGCCUUUGAUACUGAGGAUCUUGAGUUCGGGAGAGGUGAGUGGAACUGCGAGUGUAGAGGUGAAAUUCGUAGAUAUUCGCAAGAACACCAGUGGCGAAGGCGGCUCACUGGCCCGAUACUGACGCUGAGGCACGAAAGCGUGGGGAGCAACAGGG
rnacentral:rRNA from 1 species